UGGGUUGUGUUGGAAGGGUCCUUACAGACCACAGAGGCAUGGAAUGGUUGUGCUGUAUUGUGUUGGGUUGCAUUGGAAGGGUCCUUGCAGACCACAGAGUCAUGGGAUGGUUGUGCUGUAUUGGGUUGCAUUGGAAGGGUCCUUACAGACCACAGAGGCGUGGAAUGGUUGUGCUGUAUUGGGUUGGGUUGCAUUGGAAGGGUCCUUGCAGACCACAGAGGCAUGGAAUGGUUGUGCUGUAUUGGGUUGGGUUGCAUUGGAAGGGUCCUUGCAGACCACAGAGCCAUGGGAUGGUGGUGCUG